UACGUAGGGUGCAAGCGUUGUCCGGAAUCACUGGGUGUAAAGGGUGUGUAGGCGGAGCUGUAAGUCAGGGGUGAAAGCCCACAGCUCAACUGUGGAACUGCCUUUGAUACUGCCGUUCUUGAGUCACGGAGGGGUCACUGGAAUUCGUGGUGUAGCGGUGAAAUGCGUAGAUAUCACGAGGAACACCGGAGGUGUAGACGGGUGACUGGACGAAGACUGACGCUGAGGCACGAAAGCGUGGGGAGCAAACAGG
rnacentral:misc_RNA from 1 species